UGUAAGCGUAUACCAAAGUUGUUGCAGUUAAAACGCUCGUAGUCGGAAUUUGGCAGUUCCGGAUGUGUGCACGUCGUGUGCGCACUUCGCGGGGAUUGCUUUUGUGGUCUUGCGUAGGAUGAGGCACUUUUAUUAGUGAACGUCCUCACGCAACCACUUUUUACUGUGAGAAAAUCAGAGUGCUCAAAGCAGGCAUUUGCCGUGAAUGUAUUAGCAUGGAGUAAUAGAAUAGGACUUGGUUCUAUUUUGUUGGUUUGUUGGGACUGAGUAAUGAUUAAGAGGGACAGUUGGGGGCAUUUGUAUUUCGGUGCUAGAGGUGAAAUUCUUAGAUUACCGAAAGACAAACUGCUGCGAAAGCGUCUGCCAAGGAUGUUUUCAUUGA
rnacentral:rRNA from 1 species